rnacentral:rRNA from 1 species
UACAGAGGGUGCAAGCGUUAAUCGGAAUUACUGGGCGUAAAGGCGUGCGCAGGCGGUUCUUUUAAGUCAGAUGUGAAAUCCCUCGGCUUAACCGGGGAACUGCGUCUGAUACUGGAUGGCUUGAGUUCGGGAGAGGGAUGCGGAAUUCCAGGUGUAGCGGUGAAAUGCGUAGAUAUCGGAGGAACACCGGUGGCGAAGGCGGCAUCCGUCGGACCGAGUACUGACGCUGAGGAGCGAAAGC